rfam:Streptococcus sp. 'caviae' strain Cavy grass 6 NODE_4_length_217434_cov_212.721, whole genome shotgun sequence.
UACUCAUUGUUUUAAAUCAAACCUGUUAUGAUUUAAGAUAAUGAGGCCCCAUAUACCACGUUACCUGCUGAGCAUGACUCCGGGUUUCGUGGUUCUUUU